CACACACUAUACAAACACACACACUGCAUUAUAUACACAGUGUGUUUGUAUAGUGUGUGUAUAUAAUGCAGUGUGUGUUUGUAUAAUGUGUAUAUAAUGCAGUGUAUUUGUGUGCAUUGUAUACAAACACACACACACACACUUUACAAACACACACACUGCAUUAUAUACACAGUGUGUUUGUGUAGUGUAUGUGUAUAUAAUGGAGUGUGU